rnacentral:misc_RNA from 1 species
UCCUCCGCUUAUUGAUAUGCUUAAGUUCAGCGGGUAUUCCUACCUGAUCCGAGGUCAACCUUGGGUAAAAAAGGCUUUUAACGGCCGGAACCCGCAGCACGCCCUGAGCGAGAUAAAAUCUACUACGCCCGGUGUGACAGCGAGCCCGCCACUGGUUUUCAGGGCCUGCGGCAGCCGCAGGUCCCCAACACAAGCCUGGGGCUUGAUGGUUGAAAUGACGCUCGAACAGGCAUGCCCGCCAGAAUACUGGCGGGCGCAAUGUGCGUUCAAAGAUUCGAUGAUUCACUGAAUUCUGCAAUUCACAUUACUUAUCGCAUUUCGCUGCGUUCUUCAUCGAUGCCAGAACCAAGAGAUCCGUUGUUAAAAGUUUUAAUUUAUUAAUUAAGUUUACUCAGACUGCAAAGUUACGCAAGAGUUUGAAGUGUCCACCCGGAGCCCCCGCCCGAAGGCAGGGUCGCCCCGGAGGCAACAGAGUCGGAAAUCAAAGGGUUGUCAGUCCCCAGCUGUACAAGCCUGGGUGAACUUAUAAUGAUCCCUCCGCAGGUUCACCUACGGA